GAGGGUAUAACUAAGGGAUAGAAUGCAUGCCUAGCAUGCACGAGGUCCUGGGUUUAAUUCCCAGUACCUCCA
rnacentral:tRNA from 1 species